rnacentral:rRNA from 1 species
AAUCAACGCUGGCGGCGCGCUUAACACAUGCAAGUCGCACGAGAAAGAGGGAGCAAUCCCUUGAGUACAGUGGCGUACGGGUGAGUAACACGUGGAUCAUCUACCUCUUGGUGGGGAAUACCUCCGGGAAACUGGAGACAAUACCGCAUAAGCCUGCAAAGGGAAAGCAGCAAUGCGCCGGGAGAGGAGUCCGCGGCUGAUUAGCUAGUUGGUGAGGUAAUGGCCCACCAAGGCGAAGAUCGGUAGCCGGCCUGAGAGGGCACACGGCCA